rnacentral:rRNA from 1 species
CAGUAGCCGCGGUAAUACGUAGGGUGCAAGCGUUAAUCGGAAUUACUGAGCGUAAAGCGUGCGCAGGCGGUCCGCUAAGACAGAUGUGAAAUCCCCGGGCUUAACCUGGGAACUGCAUUUGUGACUGGCGGGCUAGAGUAUGGCAGAGGGGGGUAGAAUUCCACGUGUAGCGGUAAAAUGCGUAGAGAUGUGGAGGAAUACCGAUGGCGAAGGCAGCCCCCUGGGCCAAUACUGACGCUCAUGCACGAAGGCGUGGGGAGCAAACAGGAUUAGAUACCCCGGUAGUCCCUGUCUCUUAUAC